ensembl:lncRNA
AAUUCUUAAACUGGGAAGAAUGAAAAAGCACAUUAAUUAUUGAUCUGUAUUAUUAUUUAAAAAAAAAAAAAAAAAAAAAGCUAAUAUGAAGUUUAAGAAUACUAAAGCUUUCAGUGUUAUAAUGUAAUAUGAGAUAUACAUAACAAUUUAAUAUAUAUUACUGUAUUAUCUCUUUUCCAGAAAUUCAUCCUUUUUCUUGGCACAAUAACAUUAUUAGUGGGCGCAAUCACAGUCCAGGCUAGUCACCAUAUUGCAUAGUUGACGAGCUGCCUGUAGCAGAUAAAAUGAAACUGGAAAUCUUAUAUGGGAAUUGGGAUGGGGCUGGAGUACUGCAGCCUCUAGAAUGAACUGGAGCUGGGAGGAACUGAUGACUUAAAAGUAUUUUAUUAUAAACUUACAGCACCUUAGCACAGGCUCAUAAUGUUCCUGUACAGGGGUGGGUGUAACGUGUUAAUGCAAUAGUAUAAUUACAUUACAUUUUUCUGUAACGUAGUAAUAUACCACAUUACUGUACUAAAUUCAGUAAUCAAAGUAUUGUUAAGGUUAUUUAUGUGUAGUUUUAUACUUGCGUUACAAAUGUUCUGUAGUUAUCUGCACAUAAAGUGGAUAGAAAUGUAAAAACAUCAAACAAACAUGCUAAUAAAGCUUUUUAUUAUUCCUGUGCAAUCAACUGAUUUUAAUUUGUGUGCAGGAGAAGGCAAAUGUUGGCCAAAUGUGGAACUUUGUAGGAAUAUCGACAUUACUUUUACUUUUUAAUUUAUUUUUUAUUGCAAAAAACAAAAGGAGCAUGACGGCAAAGUGCAAACUGCAACAGAAGCUGAGUGAAUACUGACCCCCGCUCAGCAGCCAGAGCCUGAAUUUCAACAGCUGAUUACUGCACUACUUAGAUGGCGAGUCUGCACUAGUCUUCGCUGGAUCGUUGAACUAUCAGCAUCGUUUUUGGAACCGGAUUCUGAGAGGAGUGACUGAGGAGGAGCUUUUGUACAGAAAGUGUGGAGCACCUUUUCCCCUAACCCUGUUUCCCACGGACCCUGGCGACCCGGACCCGUUUCCCCUGCACAUUGUACAUAGCCACUUGGUGAUUGUGUUCACUGUGAAUAAACGCACUGUUCUUCGCUUAAAGGGAAACCCUGGCCUGCGCCUGAGUCUCUUUCGGAACCCCUAACAGUGUCAUUCCCCCUGUGUUUUGUUCAUUUCCCUGAGGUGGAGUUAGGAAUUUCCUGUUUCGCUUUGAAGGUCUGUGUCUGUUAUCACUGUGUUCAGCUUGUAUAUAGUGGGUGUCGGUCUGUGCUAUUUGUCGACUUGUUUGCGUUUCAUGGUGUUUUGUUCUUUGGUCUGCGUCCCUCAGCCCUUCUCCCCGUUUUAUUAUGAUUUCAGGUUUGCUCUUUAGUUUUCCCAGUUUAGGUUUCUUCAGUAGCUUCUCAUGUCUCAUUGCCUGUCUUUGUCACUCUGCCACUUGAAAAUAAACUCUCAUUCAUAUCAUCAGUCGUUGCCUGCAUUUUGGGUUCUUUUCCUCCAACACCACACAGCUUGCCCUGGCAACAGUGACAGAUAGGGAUUUAUGUAGUAUUUACAUGCUUGCCAACCUUGAGACCUCAGAAUUAGGGAGACAUUCAAAAGGGCUGU